ensembl:lncRNA
AUGUUCAGAACAGGCAGUGUCCCCGCUGGAAAGGAUAUGCUAGACUCUGGGCCCUGGGUUACAGCUGGGCCGCCUUUGAAAGAUGCUGCUCUAAUUAAGCAUGCGCUCAAACUCCUUUACUGCAGUGUGUCACUAUACAGGAAUCCAAAAUGCUGGAGUUCCUUCAUUAUGGUCUUGGGUAGCAGCAAUUUGCUGGAAAGAAGUGGGCACCUACAUCCCCUGUCCCUGAAAGAGCCACCACUUGACUUCCAAAAGAGGGUGCUUGCUGCCACUGGUGGCCUUUUGGAGGAACUGAAGGCAAAAAUUAAUGUUUCUUUACCGUCUGCAAUUUUCUCUCCUCAUUUGCAACAUGAGGCUUGUCUCAUUCUCGCAGUACAAGCAGUACAACAGAUGCUUUUUUGUGAUCUUCCAUACUUGAAUUCCUUCUUAGAGAUAGCCCUGGCUUUUGGGGUGAGUCCUAAAUACUUAUUUGUGUUCUAA